GUCUACAGCCAUGCCACCUUGAAUGUGCCCAAUCUCAGCUGAUCUUGGAAGCUAAGCAGGGUCGGGCCUGGUUAGUACUUGAAUGGGAGGCCACCUAGGAAUACCAGGUGCUGUAGGCA
rnacentral:rRNA from 1 species